UGAAGAGUUUGAUCAUGGCUCAGAUUGAACGCUGGCGGCAGGCCUAACACAUGCAAGUCGAACGGUAACAGGAAGCAGCUUGCUGCUUUGCUGACGAGUGGCGGACGGGUGAGUAAUGUCUGGGAAACUGCCUGAUGGAGGGGGAUAACUACUGGAAACGGUGGCUAAUACCGCAUAACGUCGCAAGACCAAAGAGGGGGACCUUCGGGCCUCUUGCCAUCAGAUGUGCCCAGAUGGGAUUAGCUUGUUGGUGAGGUAACGGCUCACCAAGGCGACGAUCCCUAGCUGGUCUGAGAGGAUGACCAGCCACACUGGAACUGAGACACGGUCCAGACUCCUACGGGAGGCAGCAGUGGGGAAUAUUGCACAAUGGGCGCAAGCCUGAUGCAGCCAUGCCGCGUGUAUGAAGAAGGCCUUCGGGUUGUAAAGUACUUUCAGCGGGGAGGAAGGUGUUGUGGUUAAUAACCGCAGCAAUUGACGUUACCCGCAGAAGAAGCACCGGCUAACUCCGUGCCAGCAGCCGCGGUAAUACGGAGGGUGCAAGCGUUAAUCGGAAUUACUGGGCGUAAAGCGCACGCAGGCGGUCUGUCAAGUCGGAUGUGAAAUCCCCGGGCUCAACCUGGGAACUGCAUUCGAAACUGGCAGGCUUGAGUCUUGUAGAGGGGGGUAGAAUUCCAGGUGUAGCGGUGAAAU
rnacentral:rRNA from 2 species